GCCCAACAGCUAGCUCGCCCAAACAAUUCCAACAAAUCCAUGUUAAUAACCCCUAAAUACCCCAGUAUUUACAUUAAACAAACCAUUUUUCCCCCUUAGUAUUGGCGAUAGAAACGGGACCACGACGCAAUAGAGAAAGUACCGCAAGGGAAUGCUGAAAGAGAAAUGAAACAAUCCAGUAAAGCUUUAAAAAGCAGAGAUUACCGCUCGUACCUUUUGCAUCAUGAUUUAGCGAGUGUACCCCGAGCAAAGAGUACUUUAGUUUGACGCCCCGAAACUACGUGAGCUACUCCAAGACAGCCUAUAUAAUAGGGCGUACCCGUCUCUGUAGCAAAAGAGUGGGGAGAGCUUUGAGUAGAGGUGAUAAACCUACCGAACCUAGUUAUAGCUGGUUAUCCAAGAAAUGAAUAGGAGUUCAGCCUCUUGGCUUCUCUUUUCACCUUAGUCUGACACCCCUAAAUUGAUAUAUUAAAGAAACCGAGAGAGUUAGUCAAAGGGGGUACAGCCCCUUUGAAUCAAGACACAACUUUACCAGGAGGGU
rnacentral:rRNA from 1 species